UUUGGGGUCAGGAAAAAAAAAAGAAAAAAAAAAGAAGAGAUACUUGGGCUUUCAGAAAACGCGUGAUUUUGAAAUUCCAGAAAACGCGAAGAACGGCGACUACCUAACGUCUCGAUUUCUCGCUCUCUCUCAUUCUUGGGCUUUCGUUUCUCUUUGUAUUCUAGAGUUUGAUCGUUGAGUUUUGGAUCUUUUCAUCUCUAAUUUGAUGUAUCCAUGGUUAGGUUUCAUCUGUGUUUAUGGUUUUGUUAUGUAAUUUGAUUUCAUUGACUACUGGCUUAUGUUUCUUUCUUUUGAAUUUGGUUUCUGUGAUUUCUACAACUGGGUUAGCUGCAAAUGCCUCAUUUUGGGUUUGGGUUUUUGGAGAAUCAUACACACCAAGCUUGUGAUGAGUUGCAUCCCAGAAAUAUGGAUUGUCUUGAUGAUAUUGUAUAUCUCUGUGAUUGAAUUUGAUAGUGGAUAUGAUUAGUAAGAUGGUUCCGGAGGUAACGAUAUUUUGUUCUUUGUAUUGAGAAGUCCACGGUGUCCAAUACGAAACCUUAGUAUAGAUAAAUCAGCAAGUUAGUCCUUUGCUCGUGAGAAGUCGAAUUAUAUAUAGUAUUUCAGACCAAAAAACAGGGAUAUAUGGAUCAACACACUCUUCUCUAUCCAGUCUCAGUAGCUCGUAUAUAUUGUAUAGCCAUUGCUGUGUUUAUGGUCAUUAAUAGCUUGAUUUCAAAUACAAACCUAAUGUAUGCAAGGGUACAUUGCUCGUCUAGUCACAGUGGAAAUCCUAAUGUUUCACGAUGCUUAAGAACUUCUUCUUCCUUUGUGUAUUGUAGUCAGUUAUUUACUAGUUCACAGUAUGCACAAAUUAUGGCUCCUCGGGAGAAGAGUGGACAAGAAUGAUUCAUUGAUGGGGAUCCUGAUAUCAUCUUCCCCGGCCAUCUACUAUUCUUGAAUUGUUAUUGUCUGCAACAUUUCUUUUCUGGUCAAUCUCUUGAAGUAAGAGGACUGACCUUGCGAGUCUCGGCUUCACUUCUUUCUUGGCUAGUACGUGGAUAUAUGCAGUUGUUCUUGCUGCUUUGGCUGCACCGAGACCUUACUUGAUUACUUGUUUUGCGGUUUCUGUUAGACCUGGGGGUUAGAUUGACUACAAGCUUAAUUUGAUCCUAUUGUUCCUAUUUCACUGUUCAUAUUAGCGUAUCAAACUUGAUGCUGUAUCUUUAAAUUUGAAGUGAAUAUGAUUCUUUUGUAAUACUAAUACCCUUUUGAUCUAAUUUUGAGUACUGGAAUUUCUUGGAUGUGGUUGUGGAAUUGGAACUAGUUCUAGAUUCUGAAUUCCUAGCUAGCUAUUUGAUUCAUUUCUGUAUAACUAGCUGGAUUAGAAGGCAUAUCCCAUCAGAAUCUGAGAUGAUUUCCCAGAUUUGGGUCAUUCUUCUUGAAAGUAUUCAAUGAAAGGUUUGCUCUUGGGCGCCUCCACCUUUAACCCAGUCCCUUCCCCUCCCGUCCUUCCUCCAAACAAUAAUCGUGGUCAGGAAUGUCUUUCAACUGGCGUGUGCGAUGAUAUUUCAUGACAGAUCUAUCCACAUAUGUUACUAGUCAAUCAAUGCCUCGGGAAACUUUGUAGACAUCUAUUGCUUCAAUCGGAGAAUGUGCUAUAGAUACAUGUUUUUCACAAUACUUUCCUCUUAAAGCAGUUCUUGGUGUUCUUUCUUUACGUCUCCUUUUCUUUUUUCUUUCUUUGAUUUUUCUUUCCCAUUUCCAAUGAUUGCUCUUCCUUUUUUUGCUUACAUUAAGAGUUACUUUGUCAGAGAUUCCUUUGUUCUCAAAUUAAAGUUACUGACUAAAAAUUGUACAUCCUUUCAGGUUGGAAAUGUUAAUGUGUUGCGCUGCAGCUACUAUGACCAUGGAGGAGAAAAUAGAAAUUUCCAGAGACGCAUUUAUUCAAUGCUUGAAGAGGACUACAAGAAAUCAAAUUUUCAACCACAACUUGAGACAAAGUAACAAAGUGCAUAAACCUUGAGAUUGGUGAAACCAUUACAAUGUCGCACUGUUAAUCUCUUAAGCAGAGGACUACAAGAAAUCAAAUUUUCAACCACAAAUGGUUAGGUAUUUCAAAGUCCUGAAGCCUCAGAAUAUGGACGGAGGGCUUAGCAAACACCUACCUAUGUAACUCUAAACAAACCAUAUCUUGGCAAGAGAACAAACAUGAUGGCAUGUUCUAAC